rnacentral:rRNA from 1 species
GCUUGACUGUAUCCUGGAAUUGGGUUCGGGCUUUUCUUGCGCAGCCUAGGUGGGAGGCAUUGAAGAUUUCUUUCCGGGGAAGUUAGAGCCAUCAGUGAGAGACCACUCUGGAAGAACUAAAAUCCUAAUGGCGUAUCCUUGAAUCAGGACGACUUGACAGUUUUCAGGUGGGCAGUUUUUCUGGGGCGGAAACCUCAUAAAAGCGUAACUGAGGCGCGCAAAGGUUCCCUCAGUCUGGACGGAAAUCAGACAACGAGUGUAAAGGCAAAAGGGAGCUUGACUGCAAGACCCACAAGUCGAGCAGGAGCGAAAGCUGGCCUUAGUGAUCCGACGGUGCCGUGUGGAAGGGCCGUCGCUCAACGAAUAAAAGUUA